rnacentral:rRNA from 1 species
GGAGGGUGCAAGCGUUGUUCGGAAUUAUUGGGCGUAAAGAGCGUGUAGGCGGUCCGGUAAGUCAGAUGUGAAAGCCCUGGGCUCAACCCAGGAAGUGCGUUUGAAACUACCAGACUUGAGUACGGGAGAGGAGGGGGGAAUUCCCGGUGUAGAGGUGAAAUUCGUAGAUAUCGGGAGGAAUACCAGUGGCGAAGGCGCCCCUCUGGACCGAUACUGACGCUGAGACGCGAAAGCGUGGGGAGCAAACAGGAUUAGAUACCCUGGGUAGUCCACGCCGUAAACGAUGAGCACUAGGUGUAGCGGGUAUUGACCCCCUGCUGUGCCGUAGCUAACGCAUUAAGUGCUCCGCCUGGGGGACUACGGUCGCAAGACUA